AGGCCUAACACAUGCAAGUCGAACGGGUGGUAGCAAAACCACUAGUGGCGCACGGGUGCGUAACGCGUAACCCAACCUGCCCUUGACUGGGGGAUAGCCCGCCGAAAGGCGGAUUAAUACCGCAUAAACUCACAGUGUGGCAUCACACAAUGAGUAAAGAUUUAUUGGUCAAGGAUGGGGUUGCGUGACAUUAGCUAGUUGGCGGGGUAACGGCCCACCAAGGCGACGAUGUCUAGGGGACCUGAGAGGGUGAUCCCCCACACUGGCACUGAGAUACGGGCCAGACUCCUACGGGAGGCAGCAGUAGGGAAUAUUGGGCAAUGGGCGAGAGCCUGACCCAGCCAUGCCGCGUGCCGGAUGAAGGCCUUCUGGGUUGUAAACGGCUUUUCUCAGGGAAGAAAAGGGGAUGCGUCCUCAACUGACGGUACCUGAGGAAUAAGCACCGGCUAACUCCGUGCCAGCAGCCGCGGUAAUACGGAGGGUGCAAGCGUUGUCCGGAUUUAUUGGGUUUAAAGGGUGCGUAGGCGGCCCGUUAAGUCCGGGGUGAAAGCCCACAGCUCAACUGUGGAACUGCCCUGGAUACUGGCGGGCUUGAGUCCAGACGAGGUUGGCGGAAUGGAUGGUGUAGCGGUGAAAUGCAUAGAUACCAUCCAGAACCCCGAUUGCGAAGGCAGCUGACUAGGCUGGUACUGACGCUGAGGCACGAAAGCGUGGGGAGCGAACAGGAUUAGAUACCCUGGUAGUCCACGCCGUAAACGAUGGAUACUCGCUGGUGGCGAUAGACAGUCACUGGCUUAGGGAAACCGGUAAGUAUCCCACCUGGGGAGUACGCUCGCAAGAGUGAAACUCAAAGGAAUUGACGG
rnacentral:rRNA from 1 species